UACGUAGGGUGCGAGCGUUGUCCGGAAUUAUUGGGCGUAAGAGCUUGUAGGCGGUUUGUCGCGUCUGCCGUGAAAUCCGAGGCUCAACCUCGGACUUGCGGUGGGUACGGGCAGACUAGAGUGUGGUAGGGGAGCGUGGAAUUCCUGGUGUAGCGGUGAAAUGCGCAGAUAUCAGGAGGAACACCAGCGGCGAAGGCGGCGCUCUGGGCCGGUGACUGACGCUGAGGAGCGAAGCGUGGGGAGCAAACAGG
rnacentral:rRNA from 1 species